UGGGGAAUCUUGCGCAAUGGGCGAGAGCCUGACGCAGCCAUGCCGCGUGGAUGAUGAAGGUCUUAGGAUUGUAAAAUCCUUUCACCGGGGACGCGGUACCCGGAGAAGAAGCCCCGGCUAACUUCGUGCCAGCAGCCGCGGUAAUACGAAGGGGGCUAGCGUUGCUCGGAAUUACUGGGCGUAAAGGGCGCGUAGGCGGACAUUAAGUCGGGGGUGAAAUCCCAGGCUCAACCUGGAACUGCCUUCUAGACUGCAAGCCUGGAGGUCAGGAGAGGCGAGUGGAAUACCAGUGUAGAGGUGAAAUUCGUAGAUAUUCGUGGAACACCAGUGGCGAAGGCGACUCGCUGGACUGAUACUGACGCUGAGGUGCGAAAGCGUGGGGAGCAAACAGGAUUAGAUA
rnacentral:rRNA from 1 species